rnacentral:rRNA from 1 species
GACGUAGGGCGCGAGCGUUGUCCGGAUUUAUUGGGCGUAAAGAGCUCGUAGGCGGCUCGUUGCGUCGGCUGUGAAAACCCGGGGCUCAACUCCGGGCCUGCAGUCGAUACGGGCUGGCUUGAGUGCGGUAGGGGAGACUGGAAUUCCUGGUGUAGCGGUGAAAUGCGCAGAUAUCAGGAGGAACACCGGUGGCGAAGGCGGGUCUCUGGGCCGUAACUGGCGCUGAGGAGCGAAAGCGUGGGGAGCGAACAGG